UCCUUGGUGGCUCAGACGGUAAAGCAUCUGCCUGCAAUGCGGGAGACCAGGGUUCGAUUCCUGGGUCAGGAA
rnacentral:tRNA from 1 species